UGGACGACUAGCAGGCCUUUAGUGAUGAAACCCUAAAGAACAAGAAAAGUCGCCAAAUUCUUCUGCCAUUUGUGAAGUCGUCAAAAGAAGGAAGACAGCAGCAGAGCUCACAGACAGCUGUGUCCUUAUUGAUUUGUUCCUGUGAGGCAGACGUUCAGUACUCAGAAGGAAAACAUCUGAACAAGGAUUUACACAGAGGAGGCGGGAGAAAGGGGAGGACAUGGAGGAGAGACAGAUGAACAGAUACACAGAUGCCAGAC